rnacentral:lncRNA from 1 species
GCCUGGGCUGCUGGGUGGGGGUGGGGACCGGGACUUUGCCCUUUGUCUCUCCAGAGCCACCGGGAAACCCGAGCCCUCGGCGAGCAGGCGGCCGGGCUGGGCUCCUCCAGCGAAUCCAGACCGAGCUCCGCGCCGGCCGCGAAAGAACAGAAGGUAAAACAUCCAGCCACCCCUCCCAAGCUCCGACUGCCCUAGGUUGA